GGAACGCCCCGGGACCCCCCGUUCGGUGGUGUCUCAAGCUUCUGAAGAUUCUGCUGAAAAAAUUAUAAACCAGAUUGAUAACUUGUUGGCCAGUUACAAUUAAAAGAAAUAAACCAUUAAAAUUGUGUUGUCAACAGUACAAG
rnacentral:sRNA from 1 species